ACUUUGACAAAUCACCCUGUAAAGUCACAUCACAGUCAAAACUAACAUAAAAUUGGUAAAACCUUCAGAUUUCAACUUUGACAAAUCACCCCACAAAAUCACAUCAGAGUUAGAACAUAAAAUUGGUAAAAUGAAUGAAGAUUGGAGGACAUUUUUACAUACUUCAAUACAACUGUCGACAACGAUCUUCUACACCUCAUGUUCCUUCGAUUCUUCCGCUAUGGUUAUGCCUAUUGCAUCAACAAUAGAGUUGGAGACCAUCUUCUGUGGUCCCAACCAAUCCUUCAUUUGUUCCCAGUUUCAGGCCCUAGCCGCCGCCUCGCCGCCGACGCCCCGCCGCCUUCGCCGUACCAAACGAGUCCGCACCUCCUCAUCCUCACUGGGACGAAUCACGCCGUCGUGGCCGCCGCUGGUGAACCAUUCGUUUUCCUCUAUCCGCCGAGAACGCCAGCUGGCACCGCCGCGUCGGCUCCGUCGCGAGGAUUAUCUGGAUUGGCGUUACAUCUGACUAGCCGUGGACCGGCAUUGGGCAUGGUAGGACGGUUUCCAGAUUGCGGCUGGCUCUGCGGUGAAGGCGUAACUAACAAUCUUUGGGUACAAAACGUAUUCCGUAUGCACAUCCAGUCCUUGAUUCUUCAAAAUACUUCAAGGACGACCCAGUGAGGAUGAGGAGGUGCGGACUCUUAACAAACCGGAAAACAAAUUGGGUGUUGGUCACUUUCUUGGAGGUUAUCAAUCCAACUGCAGGAGCAUUCCUUGGAGCUACAAUAAGAAUGUAAUCCACGAAUUGAUCAACAUUAGAUAUCAUUCACAUUGGUGUGUGGGAUGGAUCAUCAGAAGAAACACUUACCGACAAAAUGAUCCCCGCCCUCAAUCACGUUUAUCUCAACUCUCCCAUCCUUGACCAGAAA